UACGUAGGGUGCUAGCGUUGUUCGGAAUCACUGGGCGUAAAGGGAGUGUAGGUGGGUUUAUAAGUUAGAAGUGAAAUAUACAGGCUUAACCUGUAGACUGCUUCUAAUACUGUAGAUCUUGAAUAUGGGAGAGGAAGAUGGAAUUCCAGGUGUAGUGGUAAAAUACGUAGAUAUCUGGAAGAACACCAGUUGCGAAGGCGGUCUUCUGGCCCAAUAUUGACACUGAGGCUCGAAAGCUAGGGGAG
rnacentral:rRNA from 1 species